UACGGAGGGUGCAAGCGUUAUCCGGAUUCACUGGGUUUAAAGGGUGCGUAGGAGGGCAGGUAAGUCAGUGGUGAAAUCUCCAAGCUUAACUUGGAAACUGCCGUUGAUACUAUCUGUCUUGAAUACCGUGGGGGUGAGCGGAAUAUGUCAUGUAGCGGUGAAAUGCUUAGAUGUGACAUAGAACACCAAUUGCGAAGGCAGCUCGCUACACGAAUAUUGACUCUGAGGCACGAAAGCGUGGGGAUCAAACAGG
rnacentral:rRNA from 1 species